CCUACGGGGGGCAGCAGUAGGGAAUUUUGCGCAAUGGGGGAAACCCUGACGCAGCAACGCCGCGUGAUCGAUGACGGCCUUCGGGGUGUAAAGCUCUGUCAGUGGGGACGAAACCUGACGGUACCCACAGAGGAAGCACCGGCUAACUCCGUGCCAGCAGCCGCGGUAAUACGGGGGGUGCAAGCGUUGUCCGGAUUCAUUGGGCGUAAAGAGUUCGUAGGUGGGACGUUAAGUCUGGUGUGAAGGGCUGAAGCUCAACUUGCGUAGGGCACUGGAUACUGGCGAGGUUGAAUGCGGUAGAGGUAAAGGGAAUUCCUGGUGUAGCGGUGAAAUGCGUAGAUAUCAGGAGGAACAUCGGUGGCGUAGGCGCUUUACUGGGCCGUAAUUGACACUGAGGAACGAAAGCCGGGGUAGCAAACGGGAUUAGAUACCCCAGUAGUC
rnacentral:rRNA from 1 species